UACAGAGGCCCCAAGCGUUGUUCGGAUUUACUGGGCGUAAAGGGUGUGUAGGGGGUUGGGUAAGUUUGACGUGAAAUCCCGUUGCUCAACAACGGAACUGCGUCGAAUACUGCUCGGCUGGAGGUUCGGAGAUGAGGGCGGAAUUCUCGGUGUAGCGGUGAAAUGCAUUGAUAUUGGGAAGAACACCGGUGGCGAAGGCGGCCUUCUGGUCUGAUACUGACGCUGAGAUACGAAAGCCAGGGGAGCGAACGGG
rnacentral:rRNA from 1 species